UUGAAAACCUAAGCGCAUAAAAAGGAUAACAACGAAAACUGCUGAGAGAUCAGUUUCUCUCUUUUCUUCUUGAGAGAAGUUUAAAACCCAUCUUAAUUCAUCAAAUGAUGACCAGAUUGAAGAACCAUAGACUGUUCUACUAUUUUCAAUGAUACGAAUGGUAGGCGAUUUGUACAAAUAAUGACCAUAUCGAAGAACCACCAACGCUGAUGGCAGAUUGCUAAAGAAGACGAUCCAAUCCGUGGUUGUAGGCACAAAAUCUGAAGUUUGUCACAUAGACAACAGGUCCUUUGUUCUCUUUUUUCAGAUUUACUUAUCUUCUUUUUUAUUUAUUGGCGAAAUUUAGUAUAUCCAAAUCAAUUUGGUGGACGAAAUUUGGUAAACCAUUUUGACUUUUUGCCAAAAAAAAAUUGAGUUAAAUGAUAAUACAAAGCUUUUUAAUGAUUGAACGAUUCAACAUAAAAAAUGAUAGGAUACGAAUGAAGGAAGGUGUUAAGCAGAGAAUCAAGGUGUUCCUCCUCGAACAUCACUUCACAAUCUAUUCGUUUGCGUGUGCUGGCAUUAAUUGUAGAAAAAGCAAUAUCUAUUGUUACAUAUGUUUUGAUAAAUAUUAUUUCAUUGAUAUAGCUAAGUGAUCGGGAAAUUUUUACAAAGUACUCAGUAUUUUCUUAUUGAAUGAUGCUCUUCAUCCGAUUUUAUGUGUUAUCUACCGUGUAUAAAAUGCUCAACGGAUUUUUUACCAUUCAGUGAUCAUAUAUUUGUUGAUUUGAUCCUCACCUGAAUCAGAAAGUUGCUAAACGCAAGUUAGUGGCCUCGAGAAUUCUCCUGGACAAAGAAAAAAUGGCCUUUGAAUUGCUACUAGGUAGGCAUUGCAUUUGCUUCAGCAUAUAUCCUGAGUAGCAGCUAAGCAGGUACUUUUUCAGUACACAUACUCAUAUAUUGGUGGUUAUAGAUAGAUUUGGAGCAUUCCUACUAUGGUAAUUCCAUUGACUAACUGUGACUCUUUAAUUUGCUACAUAAAUUAUGCAAACUUUGUUGGUUUUUAGCAUUUUCAUUUUUGACUUGUGGCAUAUAUGAUUUAUAUACAAGAUUUAGUACAUGUGUGACAAGAGGGAUACAUUUAAGUAAUGAUUAACUGCUACUUAUAGUCUCAUCUGCCUUACCUUGAAGUUUGAUGAAUAAUGGAAUCGGACUUUCUAUUUCAAUAUGCACAUAAAUUUAAACUUAUGUAUAUAAAUAAAGCAUAUGAUAUUGUUUCUCUAAUCAACUUGAUGAGCAAGAAAUAUAUUAUUUUUUAAACUCCGAUUAUUAUUGAUCUUGAAACUUUAUGUGUCCUCCUUUCUUGCAUCUUAAUUGGCUCAAUCAUUCACCAAACUUUACCUCUAAGAAUAUAUUUGAACUCUUUUGGAUACUAACUAGAAAAAACAUGAGAUAUAAGUUUACCUUUGUUGUAUGCUUUCGACUUUUUAAUAUAUUUAUCGUAUAUUAAUUUAUCUAUUUAUGGUAAUAAUGAAUUGACAGGUUCAACUUCUUAAAUUAAUACAGGAGCGAUAUGUUACACUAACAUUGCGAAUGCAAGAAGAGACUCAUGUGAAAGUCGUGUAAACAAGGUAAGAGACAAAAGAAAUUUAGAAUCAAUAGAUUUUUAGCUUUAUUUCAUAAACUUCUUCGAAUCUAUGCUUUCCGUUAUACAAUACAAGUAUUUAUACGUGAAAUUAAAUGCACUACAUUGGCAAGUACUACCAUGAAGAUCCGUGAAAUAUGAUUUCAAACAUUGCUCUUGAGCUUUCGUGUAUAAAAGCUUUAAACAUUAAACCCUCAAUAUUUUAAUAGUUGGAUUGCUGUUGGAAAUAGAACAAUUCUUAAGAUGCAACUGAUUGAUUUAAUUGCGAGGCAAAAAGAAGUAUUUCAUGCAAUCCCAAUAAUGACUGACACUCUAUGUUUAGGUAGGCAACAUCCUUUAAAUUCAGACUCGACUUCAUAUCCCAUAAACUCAAAAGAGACCAAUAUUGUACAAGCAGAGGAAAACAAAUAAUAUAAGAUGUCUUCAUUCUAAAUAAGUGAUUGAUAAUCUUUAUGCGGAAAAAAAAAAGAAAGAUGAGUUGAAUCACUAAAUUAUGAAGUGGCUUGAUAGUGCUAUAGUAAAUAAAGUUUUUUGGUCGAAAGAUAUAAUUGAACAACCGUGGAAAUAUGUGAGAAAGAGGUUGAGGCAUAAAUGGUUAUGAAAUCACCGAAUAGACAAUGGUCUAGAUUGAAUUGUGUAUGUGCAAGAAAUUUAUAAUUUUAGUGUGUAUCCAUAUGAAGAAAAGGUUUGCGUUCAUGUGUUUUCUGUAUUAGUUGUGUGUGAAUAUGAAUAUGAUACUGAAUUUGUGGAGUCUUUGAGGUCGCUCUAUGACGUUCAAAGUAAGUUGCAAAUUCAAACAACUAGAAGGAAAAUUGGCAAGCAGUUUUAUCCAAAAAAAUAUUAAACUAAUAAGAUGUCACUAUAUAAACCAACCAGUCAAACCUCAUAGCAGUUGUAAACAUGCAUUCUGUGAAGAUUUUUUUUCGGGAUUGCACAUGGCUGGUUUUUGAGGUACAAAAAUGAAGAUGAAUUAGUGGCCGUAAGAGGUUCACCAAGAUAUGUUAGGUGGUCUAGGAAGCAUCUCAAGUAAAUUUCUCUCAUUAUUAUUAUCUACUGCUUUAUUUUGAAUAGGCCGUGAAUGUAAAAUUUAAUUACUAGAUUGUAUCUUCUUGGUGUUGUAAUUUGGCAUAUUUACCUCUAAAGUAACUUUAUUGAUUUUGCUUGGAUCAUUAAGUUUUUUUUUUUUGGUAAAGUAAGAUUAAACAUCAAGUCUUUGUAUUUAGAACUAUAGCAACAUAAAGAAUAGGAAAAACUUGCGGUUAGUAUGAUCGGGGUUAAAACUUGCUUUUUUCAAAGUACAUAAAUAAGUGAAAAUGCUUUUAGAUUGCUUGUUGCCAUUAUUUUUAGCUUAUAGUGUUUUAGGAGCUUCUCUAUUUCGCAUAAAUAUUUUUCAGAAGGUCAAUUGAUAAAAAGGAAUAAUUAGCAUCAAUUUAUUUAUUAUAACAAUUUUCUUCAAAAUGACCAAUAUUGGUGAAGGCAAGUAAAGGUAAAGAAAGUAAUAUAUCUAACUUUUAUCCAAUAUUUUUAUUUAUUGGACCACCAACAUGAUCAUGAACAAUCUUUUUUUCCCAUCUUUCUGAGCAUUAUAGAAGCAAAACUAAAAAGUAUAAGUAUACAAAUUUAUUCUCAACUCUACGCCUUUCCUACUUAUAUACAAGUCCAGUUAUUAUGUAUUGUGGACAACUUUUCGAGAUACUACAAGUAACUUUGUGAAGAUUAAUAACUAUUUUUAUUUAGUUAUCGUGUGUAACUUUUUCCUUUCAAGACUCUUUUGUUUAAAACUGCUUUUGUUUUAAUAAUGUUUGUCUGUCCCGUUUAUAUCGAGUUAUUUUCUUUGUUCAACGAUAGAGACGCAGAAAACAUAAAAAUUAAAGUCGUCCUUCUCAUUGUUGGCUUAGAGGCUGAUUUUGAAGUUUAAUUUGGACAUAAGGUCGAGCAACGGAAUCUUGAGGGAACAAAUCCUUAACAAAUGGUUAUCGCCAUGCCAAACAGUACAACAUUAGAAGUGCAAAGCAAGGUUGAUGUUGGAGGUUACAUUGCUUCGGCUCAGCCAACCGGUGCCGAUGAUAUCCGAGCACUUUUAAUUGGAGAUCUGCAAUUUUGGAUGAAUGAAUAAUAUCUCUAUAUAUAGCUGAUUUGCAAAUAUUGGAAAUGUACUAAAGUUUCUGAAAUAAAUUGUUGUUGCUGAGUGUUUUAAUAUGUAAAACUAUAUCUUAGGGAGAAGAAUAGAUCUAUUAAAUUGUUGUGAGAAUAUUGUUUUCAUAUGCUUUGGAUUGAUCUUCUAUUGAG
rnacentral:lncRNA from 1 species